rnacentral:lncRNA from 1 species
CAGACAUAUCUACAAUCACCUUUGCUUGGAGAAAGGAGUUAAGUGUUAUGCCUUCUGUGAAUGAAGAGGAAGAUCUAAGUCUACACUCCUCAGAGAAACAAGAAACCAGAAAAUUUUCAUCAAAUGAGCCAGAAAUUCUUCCUGACUUCAACACAACAUGGCCAUUGGGAACAGAAUAAACCACAAAUAAGGAAAUGGAGAAAGUGAUUGACACACACAAAUUUCUUGGUUUUAAAUUUCAUAAUCAUGCUAGUUAUGGGAUAGAGCUUUGAAAAUAGAGCCAAUGACAGGAUGAAAAACACUGACAAAGAGUAUUUAAAUUGAAUUUUUACUAAAUAAAAGAAAGCAGUGGAUCUGAAGGUAAGCUGCAUUUUAA